AUCAUCUUUGCAUCUGGUCAAAAUGCAGAUUCUGAUUCAGUAGAUCUGGAAUGGCAACUGAGAUUCUGCAUUUCUAAUAAGCUCACAGGUGAUGCCAA
rfam:Pan troglodytes isolate Yerkes chimp pedigree #C0471 (Clint) chromosome 12, whole genome shotgun sequence.